CAGACAGACACAAUCCUACCCUUUGGCUCCCUAGCUGGCAUUAAGCAUAAUGAAUGAUCUUGUCCUCCUUGUUUGUCUCCUCUUCCAGUAUAACACUGUAAUUAACUUAAUUACGAACAGAUUCCUCUCUUUUUUGUAUGGAACUUAAAAUGGAAAUUAAAUUUUCACCUAGGUUUACAGACUGCUAACUAGAAUCCAACAAUCAAGCUCAGUGCUGGGUCCUUGAAAAGGGAAAGUUGUUUAACUGUUGGCAUCCCAGCAAUGCAGACAAGAUUGAAUGGCAAAGCUGGAGGUAACGAGGCUGAUCGGAGGCAGCCCUUCCUGGGAUCAAGCAAAUGGAGCUCCUGAAUGAACGUGUGUGCGAUCAACCUUAAGAAAGAUGAACCAAAUGUCCAUAUCUGUACCGAUUUGCAAGUCUGUCUUCAUACCACCUGUUUGAAUGUUCUUCAGUCCUCAAUCCAUUGUGGAAGGUGAGUGCUUAUCAUUUCAGUGUUGUAAUAUCCUGAAUAUAAGCAAUGAAAGUUGUAGUAUUCUAAGGGCAUUUACCCUAUCCUGCAAACUCCAUCUAGGGAUAUCCUGAAAAAAAUCUCCUCCAUCAAUUUAUUCAAAUUUAGUUUGAUCCUUUGAGGCACAUUUCUGGCAAUCAGUAUUCUCAGAUAUAUUCUCAAUCAGUAUUCUCAAAUAUAUUCUCUAACGAGAUCCGGGGUGGCUGAAUUUGCCAGUCAGUUAAUACUUUUUCCAGUUCGCAUCACUUCAGAAUUUAGCCCGAAAUAGCCAGAAAAUCACCAAACUAUUGAUCAACUGCAUCAAAGCUGGAACAAAUGACUGGGGAUUUGAGAUAAACAGUGGAAGACCAUCAGCAUAAAGAAUAUUUAAAUUCUAAACAAUAAUGCAGAAAGCUAUAAAUACUGCUGUUCUGUCAAUAGCAGACACCAGCCGCUCCAACCAUAAAACUGACAACAACAGAGAAACCAGACAUUCCUGUCUGGUAACUCUCCCAAGUGAA